rnacentral:rRNA from 1 species
GCUGCUAGACGGAAAGACCCCGUGAACCUUUACUGUAGCUUUGCAUUGGACUUUGAAGUCACUUGUGUAGGAUAGGUGGGAGGCUUUGAAGCAGAGACGCCAGUCUCUGUGGAGCUGUCCUUGAAAUACCACCCUGGUGACUUUGAGGUUCUAACCCAGACCCGUUAUCCGGGUCGGGGACCGUGCAUGGUAGGCAGUUUGACUGGGGCGGUCUCCUCCCAAAGAGUAACGGAGGAGUUCGAAGGUUACCUAGGUCCGGUCGGAAAUCGGACUGAUAGUGCAAUGGCAAAAGGUAGCUUAACUGCGAGACCGACAAGUCGAGCAGGUGCGAAAGCAGGACAUAGUGAUCCGGUGGUUCUGAAUGGAAGGGCCAUCGCUCAACGGAUAAAAGGUACUCCGGGGAUAACAGGCUGAUUCCGCCCAAGAGUCCAUAUCGACGGCGGAGUUUGGCACCUCGAUGUCGGCUCAUCACAUCCUGGGGCUGUAGUCGGUCCCAAGGGUAUGGCUGUUCGCCAUUUAAAGUGGUACGUGAGCUGGGUUUAAAACGUCGUGAGACAGUUUGGUCCCUAUCUGCAGUGGGCGUUGGAAGUUUGACGGGGGCUGCUCCUAGUACGAGAGGACCGGAGUGGACGAACCUCUGGUGUACCGGUUGUUUCGCCAGAAGCAUAGCCGGGUAGCUAAGUUCGGAAGAGAUAAGCGCUGAAAGCAUUUAAGCGCGAAACUCGCCCAAAGAUGAGACUUCCCUUGUGGUUUAACCAUACUAAAGAGUCGUUCGAGACCAGGACGUUGAUAGGUUGGGUGUGGAAGAGUGGUAACACUUGAAGCUAACCAAUACUAAUUGCUCGUGAGGCUUGACUCU